rnacentral:tRNA from 1 species
GCUUCUGUAGUGUAGUCCGGUCAAGCACGUUGCCCUCUCGAGGCAUCAACCCGGGUUCAAAUCCCGGCGGGAGCA